UUCAGCUUUGCGCAGUGGCAGUAUCGUAGCCAAUGAGGUUUAUCCGAGGCGCGAUUAUUGCUAAUUGAAAACUUUUCCCAAUACCCCGCCGUGACGACUUGAAAUAUAGUCGGCAUUGGCAAUUUUUGACGGUCUCUACGGAGACUGAAUCAUCCGCUGUUUCUUAGGAGUUCAAGUCGUAAGCAGAUCGGCUCUGUGGCGUCAUGCUAAUUUGCAUGAAAUCCCCCAGCAUUCCCCGCAAAUGAGCUCUCGUUUCUAAAAUAUAAAUGUUCGGCAAGAGAUGAUCCAACAAGAAGAAGCCCCCCAUGCAGACGAGUCUUAGACAUAACUGCUCUCAGAGAAACGCUUCAUGUCCACGAACUCGCUGGCGAUUGCUCACCGUCACUGAAAGGGUAGUUGUCAUCCAUGGGGGUCAGGGUUCGUGCGGUAGCUUGUCAGCUUUGCGCAGUGGCAGUAUCGUAGCCAAUGAGGUUUAUCCGAGGCGCGAUUAUUGCUAAUUGAAAACUUUUCCCAAUACCCCGCCAUGACGACUUGAAAUAUAGUCGGCAUUGGCAAUUUUUGACAGUCUCUACGGAGACUGAAUAAA